UACGUAGGGUGCGAGCGUUAAUCGGAAUUACUGGGCGUAAAGGGUGCGCAGGCGGCGUCGCAAGUCAGGCGUGAAAUCCCCGGGCUUAACCUGGGAACUGCACUUGAAACUACGAUGCUGGAGUAUGGCAGAGGGAUGUGGAAUUCCAGGUGUAGCGGUGAAAUGCGUAGAUAUCUGGAGAACACCGGUGGCGAAGGCGGCAUCCUGGACCGACACUGACGCUGAGGCGCGAAAGCUAGGGGAGCAAACGGG
rnacentral:rRNA from 1 species